UGAAGGAAAGCGGCAGUCAGAGGACGAAUGCUUCCGCUGUGGUGAUGGCGGACAACUGGUGCUGUGUGACCGCAAGUUCUGCACCAAGGCCUACCACCUAUCCUGCUUGGGCUUGGGCAAGCGGCCCUUUGGGAAGUGGGAAUGUCCUUGGCAUCACUGUGAUGUGUGUGGCAAACCUUCUACCUCAUUUUGCCACCUCUGCCCCAACUCAUUCUGUAAGGAACACCAAGAUGGGACUGCUUUCCGCUCCACCCAGGAUGGGCAAUCCUACUGCUGUGAGCAUGACCUGAGGGCAGACUCUGCAAAUAAUACCAAGACUGAGAAACCCUUUCUAGACUCACUCAAGGCGAAGGGGAAGAGGAAGAAAAGGCGGUGCUGGCGAAGGGUCACAGACGGCAAAUAGCGCUUGGUCAGAUCCUGGGGUGGUGUGGGGCAGCCAGUCCUGCCUACAGUGGGAAGGCGAGCACGGCACUCACCCCAAGGACCCAGGUCAUAGUGCUCUAUGUAUAGGCCUACUUGGGUGGGAGGCAGCUCCUCUCACCACUGAGCCAUCCUCAGCAGCUGUGCUGUGUCUGCACUGAUGCUUGUCAGCUGCAUGCUUGGCGGUCCAGGAUAAGCAAGCCUCACUACACAGCGUCACCUCUACACUUGAAUCUGAGACCAACGUCAAGGUGCCCUCCCAUUUCUAUUUUAGAUUAAAGUUAUGAUUGAAGAUUAACUGGCAUGUGAAAUGCUUUUAUCUUACCUGUAACAUCAAGACUUUCCUAAAGGUCACCAUUAGCUCUUUCCUGAUGGUGCAGGCUUCUACUCACACACUGCCCUCUACUCAGGGCAGGCUGGGACUCAAGCCCUGGGCUCCUUCCAAUCAGGAUUGAUAAUUACUUUGUUGUUUUGAAACAGCCUAUGUUCUUUGUAUUAAUGUGAAUUUUUCCUCAAAGUGCUUUGUUUGCACUUUGAGUGGCUGUGGUUGUAAGGUUCCUCUCGGGGUUUUCCUUUCUGUGGACGUGAACAGUGACGGCCGUGUGCGGCCUGUGGAGCAGAGCAGCUGCCUUUGUGUGCCUGUUCUUCUCUAAUGCCUUUUGACCACCAUCUGGGGGGAACCUUGUACAUUUUCUUCACUUGGUAUUUAUUUCUGGCAUUUUAUUUCCAACAUACCUUUGCUAAAACUUUUACACACUUUACCAUUUACCAGCUAAAAUGUUGAGUUGCCAGGCAGAUAAAAGCUAUUGAGCAGAGGAAGAGGUAACCACAGGAUCCUGGGGGGGACACAAGACAGCCUGUGAACCUAGGCUGAGCUUUCUGUUUUGUGCAUUUGUCUGUGGAGCCUUGAGCUAGUUGUCGCUUAUCUCCACCAGGGCACCACCUGGUCUCAUGGUGGUCAAGUCUGAUGGUACCUGUUUCCCUAUGAGGUUAAGUGAUCUCUUAUAACGGCCCAGCCCAAGGACUACUGGACUGUCUUGGCAGACUUGCUUCUGUCCUCCCAGGGGUACAUCUUGGCAUUGGAGAGCUUGGGACACCCAGAAAGGAGACCUCAGGCUUUCUACUGGGAGGGAAAUACAUGCAGUGCAUCAGCAACAGAUGGCUUUAGAAAAGCUUGAAGGAAAUAUUGUGAACAUUUUAGACAAUUUCCCCUUUCCAAAAGUAUUAAUGAACAAGUAACACUAACUCUGAAAGCCAGCUGAAGAUCUAUUUACAAAUCUGAGGUGAUGGCCUUUCCUACAGAGACCAGCCACAGGCCUAGGGCUGACUGGAAUGUAAGGUGUUCUGAAUCUGACAAGAACUGCUACUUUGUGAACAUCUGCUCCAGUUUCUUUUUCCUUAAUGUGACAUAAACAAAUGAAAGCUGCCCAUGUCCCAUACUCCUCAGGAGCCUUUGGCAUCCAAAACCAGACAGGGUGUUCCCUAGUCAGCACACACCUGUGGGGGAACUGUAGCAGUUAAAACCUUGGCACUUGUAGGGUGGUCCAUCUGGCAAGAGUGAUGAGGACCCAGGUGCUAUAAGGAACAUCCUGGCACUUGAAUGUGAGGAUUCCUAGGGUCUCAGGCAGGCACGCCCAGGUUGGCAUUUCUGAUGACUUCCAAGUGACCCCUGUAGCAUGAUGUGUGAAGUGCCCAUCUUCCACAGAGUUAAAGAUAAAAAUGUUUUGAUUAAAAUUAACACAAACACCUGUCAAUUGCCAAAUAUUUUCAUCUACAUGGAGUGUAGCUGAUGACUGUUAGCAGAAUAAAAUGCUGUGUCCAUGUGUAUCAUGGUGUCACCAUCCUGUUGAGACGUGAAAUGCCCUAUCAGAAAUUAAAUUUAAAUUUAAAUGUGCCUAUUGGUGUCUAAACUUGAUACAAUAUAAAGUCAGGUUCCUUUUAGGAAUGCUGGGUGCUGUCACUAGGUCUGAUAGUGAAGGCUUAAAAACUUGAAGUUUGGGGGGAGGGGGGAGGUAAUACUGAAAUAUAGAUGAGAAUUAUCAGUUGGGGGGAAAAUAGCAUUUAAAGUGGCAAGUUGUGUUUGGAAAACUGUAAUGAGUAUUUUUUUAUUAAAAAACUUUAAAGGC
rnacentral:lncRNA from 1 species